rnacentral:rRNA from 1 species
UACGUAGGGUGCGAGCGUUGUCCGGAAUUACUGGGCGUAAAGAGCUCGUAGGUGGUUUGUCGCGUUGUUCGUGAAAACUCACAGCUUAACUGUGGGCGUGCGGGCGAUACGGGCAGACUGGAGUACUGCAGGGGAGACUGGAAUUCCUGGUGUAGCGGUGGAAUGCGCAGAUAUCGGGAGGAACACCGGUGGCGAAGGCGGCUCUCUGGUCCACAACUGACGCUGAGGUGCGAAAGCUAGGGGAGCAAACGGG